rnacentral:misc_RNA from 1 species
CCUCACGUCUGUCACAAACUGUCUGGAAUUAAAAUCCUAAGGAAACCCCUCAUGAUUUCAGAUGGCAAAUUGUAAACAAAAUUUAUCAUUCAUGCCUUCUGCUUCUUCCAGCAACAAACCACAGGCUUCUAGUAACUUGAUUAAGGAAACCUAUACCAGUAGCACACUGCAACAAGUAAUCAAAGGUCAAAAUUAACAAAAGUGACUUGAUUUCAUCAUCAACCUUAAAUUCCAAUGGUGCAGAAGCUCAAAACUUUCGUCACUCGGUCUCCAUAAGCAUUUUCCCAGCAGGUCUGCUAUGGGAGAAUAAUGAGCACCGAUUGGCAACAGUUAAGCUGCUAUACCUAACAGGAAAAGAAAAAAAACACUAACUUUACAGGAUUAUUGUUGCGCUUAUGAUUUGAAAUUUUCUCAGGUAUCAUUUCUUCUCUUAAAGGGGGGCGUCUGUACAAAGAUGUUACACUUGAUUAUUUACCCCCAUGUAUUUGGAACUUAUCAUCUCUUAUUCUACAUGUCACGCCAACGGCUUUUGCUCACUGAUGGUAUAAUGGAAGAAAAUGUCUCCAUAUACAUGAAAACAAGGUAUCUGCAAGACGAUUGACUAGACUGGAAUUGCAGACGUUCAUUGAUAGAACACACGAAACUUGUCAUUGUUCAAACAGCUUCAUAUGAUAAUUGAAAUCCAGUUACCAGUAGGAAACUGUCAGCCAGUCUUUGAGAAUAUGCCCAUUUUGCAACCUGCAAAUCAAUUAACCUAAGGCAUUAGAAAAUUUGUUUACCAAGUCAUAUUAACUCAACAAGAAACAAACAACAUAAAUAUAUGUGUGAAGAUAACAUGUCAAGGAAAGAAUAUGUUAUUUUCUUAGCGACUUCCCAAAAAGAAUAUACUUUUGCACCACACAUACUUUAGCCAAAAAUUCUACAAUUAGAGUUAGCUCAUGAUACUGGAAGGAAUUAAAGAUGAAAAUGCCUAUAAUUGAUCAUCUUCACCACUUGUUACAGAUCAUUCCUUUAACAUAUACAGAAGUUGCAUCAAAACAAAUGUAAUGAAUAUAUAUUUUAAUAUAUUGAAAUGCAUAUUGUAUGUAUAUCGAAUUUAUAUUUGGUGGGAUGGAGGGAAGAAGCAAUUUCAGAAACUCAUUGUGAUUUUAUGAAGUUCACACUUUCAGUAUUACUUUUUUGUUACAGGCCAUCAUUUUGCACUUACAAGUAUAUGAAGUAUAUGAAGUACACGACCCCAAAUGGUAAAUUAAAAAAACAAAGGUCACAAUUGUAAAACAGCCCAAAGUACAAGCUACUUUUUUUUUUAUUAGGCCUAAAACCUCAUGAUAAAUUUAUUGAGAUAGAAGAAUGAUGAAUAAAUGUCAGGAAGCAAACCAAAUUUCUGAAAACUACUGGAGUAACAAUAAUAUCUACUGUCAAAAAGUUUCAAAAAAUAUAAAUCAUCAACUACAUGCAUUAUUCAAUGGUACCGUAAGCCUUUACAAGCAAGGUGCACAUGUAUAAUGUCUACCAUGCUGCUUGGACUUAGGAAUAGGUGUCACUUGCAUGUCCAUGUCUGCCACAGGCUUGUUCAAUUUGUUCAUAAUUUUGAACCGAAGAACUCAGUGUCCAUAUCAUGACUCCAGUGAGUGCACUUGCCCCACUCAAACUAACUUAGAUCCACCCUUAUAGGCAUUAAAGUACUUAGAUAAAAAAAAAAAAAUCUAGUAGUAGUAGUUUGAAACAAAUAUUAAGAACAAUAGAACUUGACAGCUAGCAGAAUUGUGACUCACAUGAUAUGCUCUAGGUCACUCCCAUCUUUGUUGCAUGAGGACAACCUUCAGAAACAAGCGCACUUCCAUUCACAGAUUUAGUGCUGUCACAUCUCUCCUUGUCCAAAGUGAACUCAAGUUGCCUCUCUACAGACUUGAAAACAGCAGUUCGUUUGGAUUUCAACCUGUAUGGAGGAGAUGCAUUAAAAGCUUUACCAUUAGGCAAGGACGUGCUAUUAUCUGGAUGAGGACUGUCAAACAAAUUUUUAUCUUGAGACCCAGCCUUUUCAGACGUAUUCUCAGUUCUUCUCUGCAGCCUAUCUUCAACACAUUCUUGACCUACUUUCCCAACUUUAGCAGGAAGCAGGUGCACUUGACUUCCAGUUUUUCGCUUUCGAAAUAUGGAUGGAGUGUUGGGGUAGCUUUUUGCAGCAGUUCUCAAUAUAGAUUCAGGGCUUUGGGCACUUAAAUGACUACUCUUCACACAAGGUGGAGUGAAGAAACUAAUGGGGGAAGAAAUUGGGCUAGAACUGUACUCAUGCUGCACUUGACGCAUAACUAAAGGAUUCAAAUCUAUUGGAGUACAAGUUUCUAACAGUGGUGGUUCAUAAUACAAAGGACCAUAAGUAGAUGUUUCAAACUGCAAUUGAGACCCAAAAACUUUUUCUUCACUAAUUUCAUAGUUGAUUCUGUAAUUCUCACAUUUUCGUAGUGACUCUGAAUCACAGCAACUAAGAUCUGCGACAAAUGAAUGCGGUUUACAUUCUACACCUACAGAAUCAGCAGACUCAUUUGGAAAAACACUUGAUGAAGCUGCCAUAUCUCGCACCAGAGCUACAGACUCUAAUUGAUCCUUACCAUCUUCUUCUAGCUUACAUGCAUCAGUAGUUCCUGAUGAAGUUCGAGCAGUUGAAUCUGAUUCUUUACUUGUCUUGGUGACAGCAGGUUUAUUCGUAUCUUUACUUCCAUCUUGAAUACUAUUCUUUGCAACUGAAGGAUGUUUCCGCGAAGAAAAAACAAUAUCAUUCUUUACAACUGGAGGAAGUUUCCCUGUAGCCAGAUAGAAAUCUAAUUUUUUCUUCAAGGAACUAUUCCAGUGAUUCUUUAUAGAGUUAUCAGUCCUUCCCGGUAAAACCUUUGCUAUUUCAGCCCAUUUGUUCCCAUGUUUCCGAUGGGCAUUCAUGAGUUCCAACUCCUCCUCUAAUGUCCAAGCAUCCUUCUUUAUAUCAGGAUUCAAAUGAUUGUGCCACCUACAAUUAUUUUACACAAUGCCUUCACAGCUAUAUAAAUCAAUCACUAAUAUUUUCCCUGCAUGUGAAAAUAAAAAAUGCCUAUAUACUCUUCAAUAAUUUUUAGUACGGAAAUAUACCAGUGAUGAUUUGAUAAUUGUGCUAGCAAAAUAACCACAACAUGCUAGAAAUGAUGCAUAAGAAUAUAAGGUCAGCUACAUAAUUUCAAGAUUUCUUGUAUCAUACUAUCUUACUACUAUCAUACUUCACUAAAGAAGGGGGACAAAGGGCAGUGCUAAAUGGCAAACAUGAUAGUCAGCAUUGUUAAAUAAAAUCAAACUAGAUUCAACUUCACUUUUAAAAGUUACCUUUCCCGGCAUUGUUUCCCUAUGCGACCAGGUAAAGACUUGGCUAUGACAGACCACUUUGUGGGUCCAUAUUUUGCUACCAGUACAGUUAUUUUAUCAUCCUCCUCUUGAGUCCAAGGUCCUUUAACAAGAUCAGGAUUAAGAACCUUCUGCCAUCUAUGUAGACAUUGCACUUCUGAUCUAUCAGGAAAAAACUCAGCUAUUUUCUUCCAACUUUUCCCCUUAAAAGCAGCAACAGCAUUUCUUAACGUUUCAUCCUCCUCUGGAGUCCAGCCACCUUUUGCUCGCCUUAUUGGCCCAGUGGUUCUCCUAUGAGUUGGCGAAGCUGUUGCUGGACUGGAUACUCCGGGAGACUUGAGAAUAGCACUGCCACUGCCUUCAGAUAUAGACGAGCUUGAAGCCGCCGUUAAUUGCUUAUUUUCAAGGCAGCACUCCUCUAUCUUCACCUCACCCAUUUCUUUAUUCUAUUAACAUUUCUAAAACACGAGUUCCGAACAUAUAAAUACUAGUUAAUCAUACAAAUAAAACAAAAACAAUUAAAACCAUAAACCCUUGAGCCAGCAGUGAUGCUAACCCACAAAAAAAAAACCCUAAAAAGCCCAACUCUGGACCAAUAAAGUCAAUCCCACUCCACCAAAUACAGAUAAAAAGAGAACCCAGAUCUUAAAAAUCAGUAAUUAGAUAAAAAAAAAACAAAGAAAAAGAGAAAAUCGGAUCCAAUUCUAGGGUUUUUAUCAAGAAAACCCAAAUAUUGUUCCAAAUCAGGGCUACUUAAGGCUCAAGCAAAUACGGAUUAUAAGAUCAAAGACAGUAAAAACACAAAAAAAAAUAUUCAAAUGAAAGCAAGCUCAAGAACAAAACUAAUGAUUGGGCGAAAGUGGAAAGAAGCUGACCGCUGAUUGAGAAGUGGCGGGAAUCGAAGCAAAGCUCA